GUCCCAAAGGGCCAUUGAAUCUGCCUUGACUUCUGACCCAACAUGACUUUUCUUUGUUCCACUUGGCAACACGCUUUAUGUCCCACUCACAAAUUCUACUGCUAACUUUGGGAUCGUGUCCCUCUUCGAAUUAGGGCAUUUGUUUUUUCCCUUCGUGUAUCAGAAAUGGCUUCUAUGAACCACAAAGUGAAGGAGACUAAUUUAUUUGUUACAGAAUAGGUGUUUGUACCUUGGGAACACUACGGAGAUUCCUGGGGCCUUGCUUCUGAAUGACUUUUCUUCUGGCUUCUGCGCAGGCCAAGCAGACUCUCCCAUGUUGAGAAUGCAGGACUUUGGAGUCGGGAAGAGAGAAUUCCAGUAACAGCCUCCCAGUUUCUUAGCUGUGUAGCCUGAGGCAACAUUUUGAGCCUCAGCCCCCCACUCUGUGAAACGAGGUGGAAGCACCUGCUUCUCAGGGCUGCGUGGGGACCCCUCAGGGGCAGAGGCGAUAGGAUGCACUGAAGAUGGCCAGUCCGGGUGGAUGCCCACCGCGAGCGCUCACGGUCAGCUCUGAUUGAGCGGAUGCAUGCAGGUGUCUAGCCUGGUGCUGACUGGUUGUGUCUGAGUUGGGGCUCCCUCAGAUGCAGGCCCGAAAAUGAGGAUGACAGUGACAGAAGUUUAUUUGGGAGGCGAUCCCCAGAGGCGCCUGCAGGGGAGGCCGAGGCACUGACAUAGCUCCAGGGAACGGCAUCCGUGAGGGCGUCUGUUGUGGCAGCUGGGGCUCAGUCCUGCUGGGGACCUCCCAGCUGACUGCUUGGCGAGUCCGAGGCUGGUUAGCGACCAUCACUCCUGCCCACUCUGGCUGCUCCAGCACGUCCUCGCCCACCCAGCGCAAGCUCUCGUAGCCACGGCGCUCGCCGGAGGGAUCGUGGGUCUGCGGACGUGAGCUCCAAGGAAAUGUGGCAUCAGUAGUGUCUGCUACAAAUGCUGUUACCGGUUUGCAAAAGAACUCGGCAUUUACCGGGUACCUCAAGUGACACUGGUCGCUCUCGGCACAGUGAGCAGGCCUGGUGUGCGGCUCAGGGUCAGCCCCGGACACAGACAGCAGGAUGUGAGGUUUGGAGCGGGUGCGACCAUCUCAUCCCGGUAAAGCGGACCACGGCUGACACGCUGGAGGUGGCGGGGUGGACUGCUGGAAGCCACCUGGGCCCUUGGUGA
rnacentral:lncRNA from 1 species